rnacentral:lncRNA from 1 species
UUUGUAUUUCAUAAGAGUUGUAUUUUUGAACGAUUGAUCAUCAUCUACUAGACUUGAUACCACAUGAGAGGAUUUGUGUUGCUCUGAUGUAUCAUCAUCAUCAUCAAAAAGUUUGAAGAGAUAGGUGGCUAGCUUUAAGAUGUGAAGAAGGGAAUGAGCAAAUUAGAAUGGACAUAUGGCAAAGGCAUGGAGGUUUACUGCUGUAGAUCUUCUAAAAGGAUUUUUAAUGCUCAUCGUGCAUGGCCAUUCGGUUACAACCGAUUGUGACGUGGCAUGAUCAUAGGCGCUCAUCUAAUCACGAUGAUGGUAAUCUCUUGAAGAUGGAUCUAUACAAAACCACUAUUCACGUGGCAUCUC